rnacentral:tRNA from 1 species
GCGGGUGUGGUGGAAUUGGUAGACGCGCUGGACUCAAAAUCCAGUUCCGCAAGGAGUGCCGGUUCAAGUCCGGCCACCCGCACCA